CCUCCGAUAGCUCAACGGAUAGAGCGCUGGGUAGAUAUGUAUGUGUCUCGCGCAAUCAGAGUUAGUGAUAGUGUAUUGCCCAGAGAUGCUGGUUCGAGUCCAGCUCGGAGGU